GUCAGACCCUCAGUUGGUUAGAGCAUGGUGCUGAUAACGCCAAGGUUGCAGGUUCGAUCCCCAUUAUGGGACA